rnacentral:piRNA from 1 species
UACAAGCUGUCUUCUGAACUGUUGUAUGAC